UCCAAACUUGUACCGCACACCAAGCUAUAGAGACAGAGUAUCGAUUUCCCCUGGAAGCAAGCACAUUCUGUUAUAUCUUCAAUCUUUGAAUUUAGGUAACCCUAAAUCUUAAUUUGCUUUUUGCUUCAAUUCUCCUUCAUCUGGAAAAUACCCUCAGCGAAGCGACUAAUCGGAAUCGGAAGAGUUCAGGCUCAAUCAAACUGGCAAUCGUCGACAAAGGUUUGAGUUUGAAUUGAAGUAGUAACCAUGAGAUUAGUAAAAGGAAGUAAAGUGGAGAUCCUUGUCAAUACCCAGGGUCAUGGAGUUGAAUGGCAUUGUGCCCGUAUUAUUUCUGGUAAUGGGCACUCUUACAACGUUGAAUACGACAAUCCUAGUGUGACCGCAAAGCCUCUUUCAAACAGAGUUCCAAGGAAGUUCAUCAGACCAUGCCCCCCUGCUAUUGAAAAUAUUGGGAGUUGGGAAUGUAAUGACACCGUGGAGGUUUGGGAUGCUGGCUGUUGGAAAGAAGCUACUGUAUUGACGGACAUGACUGAAGAGUUCUACUUGGUAAGGGUGCAUGGAUCUUGCAUGGAGCUGAAGGUCCACAAAAUUCUCACGAGGAUAUGCCAAUCAUGGCAAAAUGGUCAAUGGAUCAUAAGUCCCAAGGGACCAGCAAAGUCUAGAGUCGUGAAGUUUAGCCAGAAUUUGAUUCCAAACAACUAUAAGACGAUGCCCGAAGUUCAGCAAGCUAAGAAUGUUUGUUCACCUGGAUUGGAUGCUAGCUGUCUACAUCUAUACUCACCUUCAACAUUGAAAAGUGUGUCCUCUUAUGUUGGGGAUUAUCCUAGAAAGAGGAGCGCAGUUGUGAUUAUGGGCGAGUCUAAAAGAUUCAAAGCAGUGUCCGCUGCUCCAUUGCUGGAAAAGGUAGAUGCUAUUGCUUACCCACAGAAUACUAUGGGUGAAAAAUAUAUGCAUUAUUCCUUCACUAAUGAAACAAGGAAGGAGAAACCUUGUAAUAUUAAAACACACUUUCCUGAAACCAUUCAAGAACCAGAUUUUUCUAGUAAUAUGAGUUCAGUUGGCAGCUGUAGUGUAAUAAGUGGUAGCGCAAAUGAAUUUUUUGGUGAUACAUUAGCAGGUCCUUGCCAAGAUGACGUUUCCCUUCGCAGUGAUGCAGAAUCUCUAGAUGUUAAAGAUGUGGGUGGAUUUUAUGGUGAUAUGUUAGCAGGUCCUUGCCGAAGUGACGACGAAGAUACCUCUUGCAGCGAUGAUGCAGAAUCUAUAGAUGCUGAAGAUGUGGACGAAGGCUGCACCUUUUUUCCAAAACAGGUUGUAGUAGAAAGAAUCCAUAGGUUAGAAUUGAUUGCAUAUCACCGUACCUUAGGCGCAAUGUAUGCUUCUGGUCCUUUAAGUUGGGAAAAAGAAGAAUUAUUGACUAAUCUUCGUAUUUCACUAAAUAUCUCAAAUGAUGAACAUUUGAUGGGGAUAAAGAACUUAGUUUCAUCUAGUCACAAUUUUUAAAUGUUUACUUGGGGGAAAUUUCUAUACAAUUUUUCAUUUUUGCUAACCCAUGUACAUCAUUAUUAGGUUCUGAACAAGACAACAUUUUUCUGAUCCAUCAUCUUCUCCUAUUCAUUCUGUUCUAGAAAUUAUGACACCACACUCAAUAUGUACAUAUCAAUUAUCAAGCUACAACACUUUUAUCUUAUAUAUCCUUUUCUGGAUCUUAUUUGUUGUCUUUUUUUUUUACAAUAUUAUAAGUUGUGAGCUUCCAUACCUUAAAGUGCUAUGAGAAAUUCAUCUGAUUGUUUAUUCAGUUGUUUUCUGAUACUAUGUAUAUCAUUUAAUUGCCAAACAAUGAUGAACACCUUCAUGUAUUAUGGUUAUUACAGUACAACUCAAUCUAAAAUAUUGUUUAAUAUCAUUUCAACGAAUUUUAUUUGUUGUCUAUUUUGUAGUAUGGAAUUUUUCCACGAUUUGAUUAUUGAUUUUUAUUGAUGAAUCAAAAAUCAUUUUCAGGGCCAGUGUCGGAGGCUUGCAUGCCUUGCUUCCAAUGGCUAAAUUGAUGCUAGGUUUGCCUUGUUUUCUCUCUGCAAAAUAAUUGGUGACAUUUACCAAUAAUAAUCUCAGAGAUAAGAAAAUUCUGAUAUCUUAUGCUUGUUUAUGUGCUUUCCAAAUAUAUUGGAUAUCUCAGGUGUGCUUAGAGUUCACACUUGCCAUGUCAUGUGCCAGAACAUGAACUUGCUCAAAAGCUGCAGGCACAACCCUUGUAUGGAUGAUCUUCUGAAGCAUUAUUCGGAAAAUGGUAGUCUAUUUUAUUUAUGUAUUUAUUUACUUGCAUGCCUUGCGUGGACUGUCUGCAUGAGACUUGAAUACUCUAUCCCCAUAGUUGAAAAGCAAGUUAUGCCAGAGUGUUGCAAGGUGUUAAUACUAGGGUAGUUAAUUGUGUUGCUAUUUCUGGACACAUGGUCUCCCUAUUAUUCGGCGGAGCCUUGUCCUUGGUACAAUAUGUACUCUACUUACCCCCACUUUGCCUUUGUUCUCCACGAUCCGCAAAGAUUCUCAAGGUUUUAUGGUCGUUUUUGUUGUGCCCUCCACUCUUCUUUUGGGUUUGUUCCGAGCACCUUCAACCCCCACCGACUUUCCUUUGGUAUUCAAUGUCACACAUUCACAGUGUGCCAUUAUAUCUUGAUUUAAAUACUCAUUGCCGUUAUUGUGUGUGUAUUUUCUUCUUCUUCAUGAAAAACACUUUGAACAUGAAUUGACUGCUUUGAGAUAGAUAGAACAUAGUUUUAAUAUUGAUCUCGUCCAGGAUAGAUUCGUUUUAUUGAUUUAGUAUCUAAUAGAUUUUGUUGUUUAUAGGGUGUUAGAGUUUAUGGGUACAUCUACUGAUUUCGAAUGAAUUGGGCUGAUACAUUUUGCUAAUCUUGCAACUUACCAUAACAGAUACAUGCUUUUUAACUGUCAAUUUUUUUUUUUGUAAUGCUAACAUAUAGCCUUGAUAUUGAUGUACAACCUCAUAUUGGCAAUUCGAAAGCUUAAUUAGCUAUGCAUUUUUUCAAAAGAUAUUAUGAAGUUCAUUUUGGCCAUUCUGGAUGUUGACUAUGUUUCUGAUUAUUCUACUGUGAUCAUCGAUGAGAUAAUCAAGUUUUGACUCUUGUAUCAAAAUGCUCGUGGAAAGAAAUUAUUUGUUAAGAUGAUACCAACAAAUAAGUAUGAUGCAUAUUGAUUUCCCCCCACUGUGUAUAUAUGUAAAGCACUUACUCUGAUUACUGCGGAGCUAAUCAAGCUUUGACUUCGUUAUCGGAAGGCAUGCGCAAACAAAGUAUUUCAGAAGAUUUACAGGGAGUUUGUUCAUGCUUGGUUGGCUUGUCAAGUGUCGCCAGUCACGGUUCGCUGUCGAAGUGUUCGUUAUUGGUUGUUUUAUCUUUCUAAUAUUUUGUAAUUUAGAAUUAUUUUCUGUUUUUUGAUAUAAUUUGCAACUAUGUUUAGGUUA